AACGAACGCUGGCGGCGCGUCUUAAACAUGCAAGUCGAACGAUCUGUAGCAAUACAGGGAGUGGCGGACGGGUGAGGAACACGUAGGAAUCUACCUAGAAGAGCGGGACAACUUUGGGAAACCGGGGCUAAUACCGCAUAGUACAGAGAUGUUAAAGGGCUAGCAAUAGUCGCUUCUGGAUGAGCCUGCGGUCUAUCAGCUUGUUGGCGAGGUAAUGGCUCACCAAGGCUACGACGGAUAGCCGGUCUGAGAGGAUGAUCGGCCUCACUGGCACUGAGACACGGGCCAGACUCCUACGGGAGGCAGCAGUUAAGAAUCUUGCGCAAGUGGGGGAAACCCUGACGCAGCGACGCCGCGUGAAGGAUGAAGGC
rnacentral:rRNA from 1 species